UAAAAAGCGAUGAUCGGGAAGAGUAUUCAUGAUUUUACAUACACAGAGAGUAGGGAUUGCUGAGAACCUAUGAUGAUAAUCUGAAGAAAAUCACCUGAGAGCUGAUGGCUGAAAUUAGAGUAAGUCAAUCCGUAUUUCUGCGUUAAAGGAUAAGGUAUGCUAGUACCUGAAUGGUUGUUAAAGGUGGUAUAACGAAUGUAAAACUUCGUCCUGGAC
rnacentral:ncRNA from 1 species